rfam:Oryctes borbonicus contig452, whole genome shotgun sequence.
GCCUCAGUAGCGCAGUAGGCAGCGCGUAAGUCUCAUAAUCUUAAGGUCGUGAGUUCGAUCCUCACCUGGGGCA